AUUGAACGCUGGCGGCAGGCCUAACACAUGCAAGUCGAGCGGAUGAAGGGAGCUUGCUCCUGGAUUCAGCGGCGGACGGGUGAGUAAUGCCUAGGAAUCUGCCUGGUAGUGGGGGAUAACGUCAGGACACGGGCGCUAAUACCGCAUACGUCCUGAGGGAGAAAGUGGGGGAUCUUCGGACCUCACGCUAUCAGAUGAGCCUAGGUCGGAUUAGCUAGUUGGUGGGGUAAAGGCCUACCAAGGCGACGAUCCGUAACUGGUCUGAGAGGAUGAUCAGUCACACUGGAACUGAGACACGGUCCAGACUCCUACGGGAGGCAGCAGUGGGGAAUAUUGGACAAUGGGCGAAAGCCUGAUCCAGCCAUGCCGCGUGUGUGAAGAAGGUCUUCGGAUUGUAAAGCACUUUAAGUUGGGAGGAAGGGCAGUAAGUUAAUACCUUGCUGUUUUGACGUUACCAACAGAAUAAGCACCGGCUAACUUCGUG
rnacentral:rRNA from 1 species